rnacentral:rRNA from 1 species
GGAGGUAAGGCUCACCAAGUCAAUGACGCCUAACUGGUUUGAGAGGAUGAUCAGUCCCACUGGAACUGAGACACGGUCCAGAUUCCUACGGGAGGCAGCAGUGGGGAAUAUUGCACAAUGGAGGAAACUCUGAUGCAGCAACGCCGCGUGGAGGAUGACACUUUUCGGAGCGUAAACUCCUUUUAUAUAGGAAGAUAAUGACGGUACUAUAUGAAUAAGCACCGGCUAACUCCGUGCCAGCAGCCGCGGUAAUACGGAGGGUGCAAGCGUUACUCGGAAUCACUGGGCGUAAAGAGCGUGUAGGCGGGUUAUUAAGUCAGAAGUGAAAUCCUAUGGCUCAACCAUAGAACUGCUUUUGAAACUGGUAACCUAGAGUAUGGGAGAGGUAGAUGGAAUUUCUGGUGUAGGGGUAAAAUCCGUAGAGAUCAGAAGGAAUACCGAUUGCGAAGGCGAUCUACUGGAACAUUACUGACGCUGAGACGCGAAAGCGUGGGGAGCAAACAGGAUUAGAUACCCUGGUAGUCCACGCCCUAAACGAUGUACACUAGUUGUUGCCAUGCUAGACAUGGCAGUAAUGCAGUUAACACAUUAAGUGUACCGCCUGGGGAGUACGGUCGCAAGAUUAAAACUCAAAGGAAUAGACGGGGACCCGCACAAGCGGUGGAGCAUGUGGUUUAAUUCGACGAUACGCGAAGAACCUUACCUGGACUUGACAUUUACAGAACUUUCAAGAGAUUGAUUGGUGUCUGCUUGCAGAAACUGUAGGACAGGUGCUGCACGGCUGUCGUCAGCUCGUGUCGUGAGAUGUUGGGUUAAGUCCCGCAACGAGCGCAACCCACGUCGUUAGUUGCUAACAGUUCGGCUGAGAACUCUAACGAGACUGCCUGGGCAACCAGGAGGAAGGUGUGGACGACGUCAAGUCAUCAUGGCCCUUACGUCCAGGGCUACACACGUGCUACAAUGGGGUAUACAAAGAGCCGCGAUACCGCGAGGUGGAGCAAAUCUCAAAAAUAUCUCCCAGUUCGGAUUGUACUCUGCAACUCGAGUGCAUGAAGUUGGAAUCGCUAGUAAUCGUAGAUCAGCAAUGCUACGGUGAAUACGUUCCCGGGUCUUGUACUCACCGCCCGUCACACCAUGGGAGUUGAACUCAUU